UACGGGGGGAGCAAGCGUUGUUCGGAUUUACUGGGCGUAAAGGGCGCGUAGGCGGCCAGCACAAGUCAGUUGUGAAAUCUCCGAGCUUAACUCGGAAAGGUCAACUGAUACUGUGCGGCUAGAGUGCGGAAGGGGCAACUGGAAUUCCCGGUGUAGCGGUGAAAUGCGUAGAGAUCGGGAGGAACACCAGAGGCGAAGGCGGCGACCUGGACAAGUACUGACACUCAACUACGAAAGCGCGGGGAGCAAACAGG
rnacentral:rRNA from 1 species